rnacentral:rRNA from 1 species
UACAGAGGUCUCAAGCGUUGUUCGGAAUUACUGGGCGUAAAGGGUGCGCAGGCCGCGCGGGCAGCCAAAUGUGUAAUUCAGGGGCUCAACCCCUGCACUGCGCUUGAUACUUCCGCGCUCGAGCUUUGGAGAGGAGUCUGGAAUUCUCGGUGUAGCAGUGAAAUGCGUGGAUAUCGAGAAGAACACUUAGGGCGUAGGCAAGACUCUGGACAAAUGCUGACGCUCAUGCACGAAGGCUAGGGUAGCGAACGGG